rnacentral:misc_RNA from 1 species
GGAUAUUGUGUACGUACAUGUACGUUUGUGAAUAUUGUUUUGUCCCACGUUUCAUGUCUAAAUACAAAUUAUAAAAUAGACUUCUAUCUUUAAAAACAAUCCUAUUUUUACUAGUAUUGCAUUCACUUUUUAUUGAACAUGUUCAAUUAGCAUAUUAUGUAUAGAUAAAAAAGAAAAACGAAUGAUCAUGCAAUUUCUUGUACAGUUUAAGUUAAAGAUUUCAUAUUUUGAUUUCGCUCGCAUGCUUGUUGUGAGGUGAUUGACUUUGGAGACAAUGCUUUUGCUAAAAUAAAAUGAGGCAGUGUG